UACGUAGGGUGCGAGCGUUAAUCGGAAUUACUGGGCGUAAAGCGUGCGCAGGCGGUGAUGUAAGACAGAUGUGAAAUCCCCGGGCUCAACCUGGGAACUGCAUUUGUGACUGCAUCGCUGGAGUGCGGCAGAGGGGGAUGGAAUUCCGCGUGUAGCAGUGAAAUGCAUAGAUAUGCGGAGGAACACCGAUGGCGAAGGCAAUCCCCUGGGCCUGCACUGACGCUCAUGCACGAAAGCGUGGGGAGCAAACAGG
rnacentral:rRNA from 1 species